CCUACGGGAGGCAGCAGUAGGGAAUCUUCCGCAAUGGACGAAAGUCUGACGGAGCAACGCCGCGUGAGCGAUGAAGGCCUUCGGGUCGUAAAGCUCUGUUGUCAGGGAAGAACAAGUACCGGAGUAACUGCCGGUACCUUGACGGUACCUGACCAGAAAGCCACGGCUAACUACGUGCCAGCAGCCGCGGUAAUACGUAGGUGGCAAGCGUUGUCCGGAAUUAUUGGGCGUAAAGCGCGCGCAGGCGGUUCCUUAAGUCUGAUGUGAAAGCCCCCGGCUCAACCGGGGAGGGUCAUUGGAAACUGGGGAACUUGAGUGCAGAAGAGGAGAGCGGAAUUCCACGUGUAGCGGUGAAAUGCGUAGAGAUGUGGAGGAACACCAGUGGCGAAGGCGGCUCUCUGGUCUGUAACUGACGCUGAGGCGCGAAAGCGUGGGGAGCGAACAGGAUUAGAUACCCUGGUAGUCCACGCCGUAAACGAUGAGUGCUAAGUGUUAGAGGGUUUCCGCCCUUUAGUGCUGCAGCAAACGCAUUACGCACUCCGCCUGGGGAGUACGGCCGCAAGGCUGAAACUCAAAGGAAUUGACGG
rnacentral:rRNA from 1 species